AGAGACUGGGUAUAGGAGGGU
rnacentral:miRNA from 1 species